rnacentral:lncRNA from 1 species
AGUGCUUGCAUAGCAUUUUACUAUAGUGCGCGGCAUCGUAUUCGUAAACUCGUAACGAAUAGUAUGCCAUACCUAUAAUGCCUUUAGAACUUAUAAAAAAUCAACGUGGUCGAGAUAUUUUUAUUUAUAAUGGUUUUAUUCAUAAACAAGAAAGGACGAUUGAAGAUAAAAUAAUUUUGAAAUGCAAUGAAAAAAAAAAUGUACUAGUCGAGCUCAUACAAUUCAAGAUAAGAAAACAGUUUGCACCCGGGGUCUGAUGACUAGCACUUGCGCUCACCCACAACAGCGUACCAUUGUUAGCUCUUGAGAGCUGUUAACAAAACUCAAAGAAAUUAUGGGUUAUUGAAUCCAAAGCGUCGACGGGCUUAGGGCCAUCUACGGACCACCAGUGUCGAAACCCCAUGUCAUCCACGAGCAUGGCACUCGUACCAAAAGUUGGGUGUUUCGUGUCUACUGCCCAAUCGUCUUGGUCGAGUCGAGUUUCCGCCAACCUUUGUCAUAUUUUCGGUUACAGAUAAUCUUUGGUGUAUGUCUCAUCCAGCAGAGCAGCAAGACAUUCGGAAGAAACGCCACUGUCUGCACCAUACAACAUUCACAAUGUCUGAAUACCAUCAAAACCCGCACCGAACUUAUUGAAAAACUUCGCCUGGACUAUUAUCUAUCCUCAACCGUAUCAGUUGCUCCCGCAACAGCUACCACCAAGCCCAUAUAAGGGUACUCUGCCAAGCGUCAUCACCACUAAUGUCGGAAUACCAUCGGAUCUGUGAUGCAUUUCUAUUUUAACGGACCAAUAUCCCCUUACAGGUAUAUGUGGACAUACAGCGACAAACACGCGCGAUUUCGGUCGACGAACUUAAAUAAGUAGCCAUGGGCAUGAAGAUGGGAAAAUAUUAGGUCAUUGCAAUAUGAAAAGGUCCGGAGAUGACUACAUUGCACACGUAUGGGGGCAGGGAGAAAUAGACUUAAUGUUCCGUAAUGUACGAAUUCGUACGUUAGCACAUACAUCACGCAGAUUGUAAUAAUUGGCGUUCAUAAUUAAAUAUUGGACCUAUGUAAAUGUAAACGUUACAAGGUGUAUGUAAAUUAUUGUACUAUAGGGAUGUAAAUGUAGAUAUCAUUAGAUUAUACGAUGAACGUAAAAAUUACUUUAGUCAUAAAUAGUCGAACCUAAUCUAAAUCGGGCGAAGUGAUGUGAUUCGGUCAGUUUAUUUAUAUUUGUAUCAGUACGGGUUUUUGUGUUUUAUUCGUGAACUUAACUUUAAUUUGCAUUUUAUUGA